UACCGAGGGUGCAAGCGUUGUUCGGAAUUAUUGGGCGUAAAGCGCGUGUAGGCGGCUUUGCAAGUCGGGUGUGAAAGCCCUCGGCUCAACCGAGGAAGUGCGCCCGAAGCUGCAGAGCUUGAGUACCGGAGAGGAUGGCGGAAUUCCCCAAGUAGAGGUGAAAUUCGUAGAUAUGGGGAGGAACACCGGUGGCGAAGGCGGCCAUCUGGACGGAUACUGACGCUGAGACGCGAAAGCGUGGGGAGCAAACAGG
rnacentral:rRNA from 1 species